CACAGGGCUUUGAAAUCAGAUCAACCACGGUUUAAAUCCUGUUUUUGAUAUUUACUGGUGCUAUGAUAUUAAAAUGGUUACUUAAACUCUUUCAUUCUCAGUUCCCCCUCUGUAAAAGAGUGAUAAUAACACCCAAACUGCUUGUGUAAUGUAUGGAUUAGAAAUGAUAUAUAUGAACAGAGAGACAUCAUCACUGGGCUAUCAAGUGCUAAUUUCAGAUUUGGCUUGGUAAGUCUAGAUGUCCUGAGAGAAUUCUGCUAGAUGCUUAAACUAAAAUUGAGAUCGACUGCUAAUAGGUUGAUAAGACUGUCUUGACUUUAAUUUUAUGGUUUGAAAGGUUAGGUUCCCCAAAGCACAGUUAUCAAAGACAAAAAAAUUCGAAAUCUUUGCUCAAAUUUAUUAUUCUCAUAAAAUUGAGGAUAAUUAGUUAAUGGCAGAUGCUGACCACAAGGAGGAGCUCAAGAUUCCUUCAUCCCUAAUUCUUCCCUUUAGGAUAGGAUAAGGUCUGGGUAGGGCUCAGGUGAUAGGAGUGUUCCUCUCCACCUUAGGACUCUCAGACCCUCCCACUGCUGCAGCCUCUUUUAAGAUUCAUUGCACUAGAACCCAGUCUCCUGUAAUUAGGAGGUAAUUAGGUAAAAUGAAGGUCUAUUUGAAUAUGAAGAAGUACAUCUCUGAGAAGGCUUAAGAUGAGUGGAUUCAUCCAAUUCUACACUAAUGUUAAAGGAAAAAAAAACACUUUUUUUACUGUUCUUUAGUCUUCUCACUGGAAUGGCAAUUUUUCAAGGACUAUGAUAUGGAAAUAGGUUUAGGGAGAAAGAAACGAGGUAGAUUUCUUGGCAUGUGCAGAUGCUAGAAUUUGUUUGAUUUGUUGAGAAGAGUGUUUGCUGCCCUACAGUGAUCAGGGUGAUGCAGACAGACUGCAUUGAGAGCUAAACAUAGAGGAGUUCCCGUCGUGGCUCAGUGGUUAACGAAUCCAACUAGGAAUCAUGAGGUUGCAGGUUCGAUCUCUCUCCAUGCUCCAUGGGUUAAGGAUCCGGCAUUGCUGUGAGCUGUAGUGUAGGUUGCAGAUGCAGCUCAGAUCCCACGUUGCUGUGGCUCUGGCACAGGCUGGUGGAUACAGCUCUGAUUCGACCCCUAGUCUGGGAACCUCCAUAUACCACAGGAGUGGCCCAAGAAAUGGCAAAAAAGACAAAAAAAAAAAAAAA
rnacentral:lncRNA from 1 species